UACGUAGGGUGCGAGCGUUAAUCGGAAUUACUGGGCGUAAAGCGUGCGCAGGCGGUUUUGUAAGCCAGAUGUGAAAGCCCCGGGCUCAACCUGGGAAUGGCAUUUGGGACUGCAAGGCUUGAGUGCGGCAGAGGAGACUGGAAUUCCUGGGUGUAGCAGUGAAAUGCGUAGAUAUCAGGAGGAAUACCGAUGGCGAAGGCAGGUCUCUGGGCUGACACUGACGCUCAUGCACGAAAGCGUGGGAGCAAACAGGAUAGAAACCCGUAGUAGAU
rnacentral:rRNA from 1 species